AGCCAAUUGGAAGUCAAUUCCCCCUAUCAAUGGUAGACUCCUCCCCCUCAAUAGCGUCAGCCAUCAGUGUUGUUGCUGGGCCCUUUGGUUUCAGCCCUGUAAGAUUCCCCAUCGGAUAAACCACUGGUGUCUCUCCCUGUUUUCUGGCUCUUUGGACUCUUGGCUGGACAACUACAACAUUAGCAGGCCUGUAGGGUGCAGCGUAGCAGGCAAUCUGGAAGAAGCCAAGACCUUCAAGAUGGGAAACAAUGUAACCAAACUACAGUACUCUGAAAUGGUGAUGAGCUCCAGUGCCUGGACCUGAAUCCCAGCUCUGCUGCUUCUUAGGUUUUUUCUUAUUGUUCAGUUGCUAAGUCAUGUCUGACUCGGUGAUCCCAUGGACUGUAUCCUGCCAGGCUUCUCUGUCCAUGGAAUCCUCCAGGCUUCUCUGUCCAUGAGAUUUCCCAGGCAAGAAUACUGGAGUGGGCUGCCAUUUCCUUCUCCAGGCAGUCUUCCUGACCCAGGGAUCAAGCUCGUGUUUCCUGGUCUCCUAAAUUGCAGACCCACACCCACCCAUUUGUCCUGUUCACCAGCCAUUAAACGGCCUGCUGCUACCUGUCCCGUACUGCCUGGCAGCUGUUAUAUCCCUGCCAGACUGAGCUCUCGAAAGUCACUCUUAAAUUCACCUGCCAGGCUCAGUCUGGGCCCUUGCCCAGCCUGAGGAGAAGGAAUGGACAGCGGUUAGAUGGCCUGCCACACGCUAUCAGUGGUAUCAAGUUCCCCGUAUGUCUUGGUGCAACCUGAAAUACCCACACCAAGCUUUUAUGCCUUGAACAAAUGUGAUUCCUGGGCCAUCUGAGGGUUUGCAUAAUUUAAGGAGUAUAAGAACAUGUGUUCAACAAUUUUGAUCAAGGCAAUAGAUUGAGAACAGCUAGGACCUAGAUACAGAAUAAAAAACCAAGGCUCCCGAAGUUAUUUAUAAUACCCUUGUUAAUGCUUUGAACGUUCUCAGAGAAAUCUGGAAAUCCGAUACAAUCUACUUUAGAGCUCUGAAUUGUAUUUAUACAUUUCUACAGGAAAUACGUGUCUCAUAAAUGUAGGACAAUCUUAUUCUAAACUAGAUGUCCUCACUUAUGCUGUUCCUGUCACUUAAAAGGCUCAUUGUGUUCUCCUCUGUCUAUAAAACUGUCAACUCUCAAGGCACAGUUGAAUACCCCAGCCUUUCCCAAAACCUCUGAGUUCAAUCUUUGUAAAAAAAUAAAAUAAAAAAUGAUGGUUACUGGGUCUAAUCCAGAUAGUCUGAGUUUUGCCAUUUGCCCAUCAAGUGACUUAAGCCUGGAUUCUCAUUUGUUCACUUUUAUUUUAGAAGUAGUAUUUUCUCUGUGCAAUUUGUAGGUUUGUUAAUAAAGAUCAAAAGAUAAU
ensembl:lncRNA